GACCCGGGGCCGUCUAACCUCGGAAUUGCAUUUGUAAACUGGCAGACUAGAGUACUGUAGGAGGGGGGUAGGAAUUUCAGGUGUAGCGGUGAAAUGCGUAGAGAUCUGAAGGAAUACCGGUGGCGAAGGCGGCCCCCUCGGACAGAUACUGACACUCAGAUGCGAAAGCGUGGGGAGCAAACAGGAUUAGAUACCCUGGUAG
rnacentral:rRNA from 1 species